AAAAGCAACUAUUGUGACGUGACACAAAAGAGUCAAUACGUUUGCAGUGUUUUAAAACAGAAACGAUAAAUAAUCGAGCACAUUAACGCGACCAAGCGGAGUGGAAGCGAUGACACGGGGUUGUCUGUGCAGCUUCGGCCACACGAUCGACCAAGCGAGAUAAUUACAAUGAGCUGUUGAUUCCGCGUCAUGAUCGUAUUUCUUUUGCUUCAUUGCGUUGAUGUUGCGUUAAAUUUUCAAUAAAUAUUGUUCAUUUUA